UACAGAGGGUGCGAGCGUUGUUCGGAAUUAUUGGGCGUAAAGGGCGCGUAGGCGGUGCGGUAAGUCACUUGUGAAAUCUCCUGGCUCAACUGGGAGCUUGCAGGCGAAACUGCCGUGCUGGAGUGUGGGAGAGGUGCGUGGAAUUCCUGGUGUAGCGGUGAAAUGCGCAGAUAUCAGGAAGAACACCCGUGGCUAGGGCGGCUCUCUAGUACGGUACUGACGCUGAGACGCGAAAGCGUGGGGAGCGAACAGG
rnacentral:rRNA from 1 species